CCUACGGGAGGCAGCAGUGGGGAAUAUUGCACAAUGGGGGGAACCCUGAUGCAGCGACGCCGCGUGAGUGAAGAAGUAUUUCGGUAUGUAAAGCUCUAUCAGCAGGGAAGAAAAUGACGGUACCUGACUAAGAAGCACCGGCUAACUACGGGCCAGCAGCCGAUGUAAUACGUAGGGGGCAAGCGUUAUCCGGAUUUACUGGGUGUAAAGGGAGCGCAGACGGCUGUGCAAGUCUGGAGUGAAAGGCGGGGGCCCAACCCCCGGACUGCUCUGGAAACUGUAAAGCUGGAGUGCAGGAGAGGUAAGCGGAAUUCCUAGUGUAGCGGUGAAAGGCGUAGAUAUUAGGAGGAACACCAGUGGCGAAGGCGGCUUACUGGACUGCAACUGACGUUGAGGCUCGAAAGCGUGGGGAGCAAACAGGAGUAGAUACCCCAGUAGUC
rnacentral:rRNA from 1 species